GGUAAACAAAAAGAGAGGGAAAUAAUACUUAUGGGAGAAAGUAAAAAAUUAAUAAAACAUUAAAAAACUUUUAGAAAAAUAAACAUAAAAGACCAAACACGAACUAACACGAAUGGACAUAAACGAACGAACAUAUUACCGAGCGUUCACGGACGCAGUCGAACGGACGAGACUUUUGUUCGUGUUGGUUCGUUAAGCUUAUCGAACUAAAUUUUUUGUUCGUGUUCGUUCGUUAAGCUUAUCGAACGAACAUAAACAAACUUCCCGCCGAACGGUUCACGAAUAGUUCGCUGAACGUUCGCUUCGUUUACAACCCUACGGCGGUUAGUACCGGUUUGGUAUAGUGUAGCAUACAUCUUGGAUGGCAAGAACCAGACAUUUAGGCAAACAAGUUUGACGUCAAACUUAAAACAGGAUUUUAAUGAAUUCGUGGUGAUUCUGUUCUUGUGAGUGUUCCCUUUGUUUCGAUCUAGUACGGAUUAUCACAUUGAUAAUCUGAUUAAGAGAUAGUUGUUUAGUUGAGUGAAUAUGUGUUGAGUUCAGAUUGUAUAUGUUGUAAGGUGUUGGCGCGGGUUGUCGGUUUUUUCUGUCCCCGUCGCUGUUUAUAAAAGUUAUCCUUCAAAAAAAAAAAGUAUUCAGUUCAGAUCUGUAUCGUUUUAAAGAAUAAACGUCUUAUUGGUUUGGGUUCUUUAUUAAUACUGGUAGAUCUGCUGUGAUACCCUGUUUUUGACAAGUAAUCUCAAUAACAUAGUAAAACUGAUUCAAUACAAGUGUUUCAUCAGCUUCCUAGAAGAACACUUUGGCUAUAAACAUUUUUGAAGUUGUUAUAUAUCCCCUUAAACGUGUGGGAGCAAAUCCUCCUAAAAAGUGACGGGAACUAGAAACUUUUAACUGGGCUCAGUAUUGAUCUAAACAAAUAAAUAUAAAUAAUAAAUUAUCUAAUUUUUUCAAUGGCCUUUAGUCUAGUGACACUAGGCGUUUAUUAUCACUAAUGGUGAAGUUUAGGAGUAAAUAAUAAAAGGGUGUUCAUCAGCUAAAAAGAAUUAUCC
rnacentral:lncRNA from 1 species